GCUUCGGGGGCUUACACAUGCAAGUCGAGGGGUAACAGGGAGCUUGCUCCGCUGACGACCGGCGCACGGGUGCGUAACGCGUAUAGAACCUACCUUUUACAGGGGGAUAGCCUUUAGAAAUGAAGAUUAAUACCCCAUAGUAUUGACUGAUCGCAUGAUUAGUUACUUAAAGAUUUAUCGGUAAAAGAUGGCUAUGCGUCCUAUUAGUUAGUUGGUAAGGUAACGGCUUACCAAGACAGCGAUAGGUAGGGGUCCUGAGAGGGAGAUCCCCCACACUGGUACUGAGACACGGACCAGACUCCUACGGGAGGCAGCAGUGAGGAAUAUUGGGCAAUGGAGGAGACUCUGACCCAGCCAUGCCGCGUGCAGGAAGACUGCCCUAUGGGUUGUAAACUGCUUUUAUACAGGAAGAAACACUGGUAUGUAUACCAGCUUGACGGUACUGUAAGAAUAAGGACCGGCUAACUCCGUGCCAGCAGCCGCGGUAAC
rnacentral:rRNA from 1 species